GACGAACGCUGGCGGCGUGCUUAACACAUGCAAGUCGAACGGAAAGGCCCUGCUUUUGUGGGGUGCUCGAGUGGCGAACGGGUGAGUAACACGUGAGUAACCUGCCCUUGACUUUGGGAUAACUUCAGGAAACUGGGGCUAAUACCGGAUAGGAGCUCCUGCUGCAUGGUGGGGGUUGGAAAGUUUCGGCGGUUGGGGAUGGACUCGCGGCUUUUCAGCUUGUUGGUGGGGUAGUGGCUUACCAAGGCUUUGACGGGUAGCCGGCCUGAGAGGGUGACCGGCCACAUUGGGACUGGGAUACGGCCCAGACUCCUACGGGGGGCAGCAGUGGGGAAUAUUGCACAAUGGGCGGAAGCCUGAUGCAGCAACGCCGCGUGCGGGAUGACGGCCUUCGGGUUGUAAACCGCUUUCGCCUGUGACGAAGCGUGAGUGACGGUAAUGGGUAAAGAAGCACCGGCUAACUACGUG
rnacentral:rRNA from 1 species